UACGGAGGGUGCAAGCGUUAUCCGGAUUCACUGGGUUUAAAGGGUGCGUAGGCGGGCAGGUAAGUCAGUGGUGAAAUCCUGGAGCUCAACUCCAGAACUGCCAUUGAUACUAUCUGUCUUGAAUAUUGUGGAGGUAAGCGGAAUAUGUCAUGUAGCGGUGAAAUGCUUAGAUAUGACAUAGAACACCUAUUGCGAAGGCAGCUUACUACGCAUAUAUUGACGCUGAGGCACGAAAGCGUGGGGAUCAAACAGGAUUAGAUACCCUGGUAGUCCACGCCCUAAACGAUGGAUACUCGACAUACGCGAUACACUGUGUGUGUCUGAGCGAAAGCAUUAAGUAUCCCACCUGGGAAGUACGUUCGCAAGAAUGAAACUCAAAGGAAUUGGCGGGGGUCCGCACAAGCGGUGGAGUAUGUGGUUUAAUUCGAUGAUACGCGAGGAACCUUACCUGGGCUAGAAUGCUGGGAGACCGCUAGUGAAAGCUAGUUUUGUAGCAAUACACUGCCAGUAAGGUGCUGCAUGGCCGUCGUCAGCUCGUGCCGUGAGGUGUUGGGUUAAGUCCCGCAACGAGCGCAACCCCUAUCUUUAGUUGCCAACAGGUAAUGCUGGGAACUCUAAAGAAACUGCCGCCGUAAGGUGUGAGGAAGGAGGGGAUGAUGUCAGGUCAUCAUGGCCUUUAUGCCCAGGGCUACACACGUACUACAAUGGGGAAGACAAAGGGCUGCAACAUAGCGAUAUGAAGCCAAUCCCAAAAACUUCCUCUCAGUUCAGAUUGCAGGCUGCAACUCGCCUGCAUGAAGCUGGAAUCGCUAGUAAUCGUAUAUCAGCAAUGAUACGGCGAAUACGUUCCCGGACCU
rnacentral:rRNA from 1 species